AUACAGCAAGAACACGAAAAAUCAAUUUAGUGUCACGAUGAUGGUAUAAUUUUAACUUUAUUUAUUAUAAUAAUAUGCACAUUAAAAAUAACUAUGAGCGAUUCUCGAGCGCAUAUCAAUUAUAAUUAUUAUUACAUUGCAUAAUAUAAAUCCACUGUUGCAGAUUAUAUAAAUCGAUAUUCGACAGACUACAAAACGACGAUAAUAAUAUGAAAAAUCGUUAACUCGAACCGCAUCAUAUCCGGAUCUCGUGAACUUUAUUUCAGCGUACUUAUAAAUUAUUAUGUUGCAAUCUGUGAACACAAUGUAUAAUAUACUUAAAUAUUGUGUGCGUUUAUACAUUUUGUCAAUAUUGCACCGACCGUAAUCGUGUAUAAUAUUUAUUGUUUAUUUUGCGUUGAGUCUUCGCAGAAACAUAAAAUAUAAACUAAUACGAAACUCGACAAAGGCACUAAUUUUCCGGAUUCCUACACACGAAAUAAAAAUGACGCUGUUCAGGAAUACGAUAUCAUUCACUGCACAUCAAAUGCAGCAAUGCAAAUGCAGUAUAUUCUUGCAGUUCGAUAAACCUGAUAACCAAAAAGUUCCAGCUAAAUCGCCAAAAAAAGCUUUCGUGUCAAAUCUCGACCAAUAACUUGCGCAUUCAAACAUAACCAGACAGCUUGAUGAAAACUAAUCUGUAAAAUGAAAUUUAAGAUGAUGCUAUUUAUUGGUAUUUUUUGUUUUUUAGUAUAUAAAAUAAAUUAUCAAGAAAA